GACGAACGCUGGCGGCGUGCCUAAUACAUGCAAGUUGAGCGCUGAAGGUUGGUACUUGUACCGACUGGAUGAGCAGCGAACGGGUGAGUAACGCGUGGGGAAUCUGCCUUUGAGCGGGGGACAACAUUUGGAAACGAAUGCUAAUACCGCAUAAAAACUUUAAACACAAGUUUUAAGUUUGAAAGAUGCAAUUGCAUCACUCAAAGAUGAUCCCGCGUUGUAUUAGCUAGUUGGUGAGGUAAAGGCUCACCAAGGCGAUGAUACAUAGCCGACCUGAGAGGGUGAUCGGCCACAUUGGGACUGAGAAACGGCCCAAACUCCUACGGGAGGCAGCAGUAGGGAAUCUUCGGCAAUGGACGAAAGUCUGACCGAGCAACGCCGCGGGAGUGAAGAAGGGUUUCGGAUCGUAAAACUCUGUUGGUAGAGAAGAACGUUGGUGAGAGUGGAAAGCUCAUCAAGUGACGGUAACUACCCAGAAAGGGACGGCUAACUACGUG
rnacentral:rRNA from 1 species